rnacentral:rRNA from 1 species
CACGUAGGGUGCGAGCGUUGUCCGGAAUCAUUGGGCGUAAAGAGCUCGUAGGCGGCUCGGUAAGUCGGGUGUGAAACCCCCAGGCUCAACCUGGGGACGCCACCCGAUACUGCUGUGGCUAGAGUCCAGUAGGGGAGUGUGGAAUUCCCGGUGUAGCGGUGAAAUGCGCAGAUAUCGGGAGGAACACCAGUGGCGAAGGCGGCUCACUGGCCCGGUACUGACGCUGAGGUGCGAAAGCGUGGGGAGCAAACAGG